UGCAAGUAAUCCAGAAUUGUUUGUGUUCGAUCAUGAGAAAACAUGAUAGAUUGCUUGGUCGUUUAGUCACUGCGAACAAUCUUCGAUUAUUUCAAUUAAUCAGACCACCACUAUAUUUAACGCCUUUGGUGCUGAAAUUUUUUUAAAAGGGGGCGUUUAUUUAAUCACUUGUCAGUCACUUGAGCCAGUAAAAACAACAUAUCAAAAUGCUAAUUAUAGAAAUUACCGGCACUCUAUUAUGGCUGGUGACCUUUGUUGCAGUGAGAGCAUGAGAUUGGUAACUCACCUGAAAACCCUUCUCCAUUGACAAUUUGUAUGUAUACAACUUAAACAAACCUCAAAAAGGGGGGCACUAUAAAAGAAUAUUUUUUGUUUAUUUGAACAUAUGGUCGGGGAUGGGGGUGUGGAUGGGGCAUUAUGAGGACAGGGCGCUUAAUAUGUCGAAUACGGUAAUCCCCAACCAUCGUCUUGUCUGUCAGAAAGAACCCUGACCUACGUUGACGCUGUCACCUGUGAAGGGUGUAUGGCUAUUGCUGCACCAUUUUGAAGUGUUUGUUUAAACCAAUGUUGCAAUCUAAUGGAAGCACCUAAUUAUAUGAGGAGAGGAGGAGUUGAUUAGCUGCUGAGAAAUACUUACAGGCUUUCUACUUCAAAGGCUUCCUUUUAAUGAAGCAUUUAAACUUUGAGAGGCGAGAUAAACCAGUGAACUUGUUGAAAUGUGUGAUUUGAGAAGUUAAAUAGAUAUUUUUUUCAGUUUUCUUUUGCCUGGGAUUCAUCAGUUUAAGUCUGAA